rnacentral:piRNA from 1 species
UAACCGGAGAAACCUUUGAUUUUGAGCAC